AGCCCAGCCCAGCCCGGCCC
rnacentral:miRNA from 1 species